GAGAACUUAGCAGAGAUGCUUUGGUGGCCUUCGGGAACUCUGAGACAGGUGCUGCAUGGCUGUCGUCAGCUCGUGUUGUGAAAUGUUGGGUUAAGUCCCGCAACGAGCGCAACCCUUAUCCUUUGUUGCCAGCGGCUCGGCCGGGAACUCAAGGAGACUGCCGGUGAUAAACCGGAGGAAGGUGGGGAUGACGUCAAGUCAUCAUGGCCCUUACGGCCAGGGCUACACACGUGCUACAAUGGCGCAUACAAAGAGAAGCGACCUCGCGAGAGCAAGCGGACCUCAUAAAGUGCGUCGUAGUCCGGAUUGGAGUCUGCAACUCGACUCCAUGAAGUCGGAAUCGCUAGUAAUCGUAGAUCAGAAUGCUACGGUGAAUACGUUCCCGGGCCUUGUACACACCGCCCGUCACACCAUGGGAGUGGGUUGCAAAAGAAGUAGGUAGCUUAACCUUCGGGAGGGCGCUUACCACUUUGUGAUUCAUGACUGGGGUGAAGUCGUAACAAGGUAAGCGUAGCGAG
rnacentral:rRNA from 1 species